rnacentral:lncRNA from 1 species
GGGGGAAGCCAGCUGCAUGUCAUAUGGACAUUCAGGCAACCUAGGGUGUGAAUAAUGUGGCAAGGAAAUAAAAGGCCUGCUAGCAAAUGCUCAGUUGAGCUUGGUAAUGGGUCCUCUCCCAGCAUCUCCAGCCAAGAGCUUGACUGCAACCUCAUAUGAGAUUUUGAGCCAUAACCAUUCAGCUAAACUGCUUCUGGAUACCUGACCAUAGAAACUGUGAGAUUAUAAGAGAAGCAGAUCUUAGGGGGACAAGAGUACAUAUGAAACACAGCAGAGGAGUAGGAUAUGUCUUUGAAUGAAGAUGCCUGAGGGACUGAAUAAAGAACCUGGACAACUAAAGAAAAAAGACACCUAUGGAUCAGAAUUGAGACAAUUUCUUCAGCUACUUAAUUUUUUUUCUUGUAAAAAAAGAACUUCCAGUUUCCCAAGACGCAACAUUGAAUUCAAUCAGAGGUAAAGAUUCUGGACUAUUGGAUUAAAUGAGGAGGCAGGAGCUACUAUCUCUUGCAGUGAAAUUAUGCCAUUCAUUAGAAGGUGAUACUGUCAUCAAUGUGAGAGGCCCAGGACUCUGCAGGGCCUGAAGAAAUCCUGGGCAAUGAGUCUGAGGGAAGUCUCUCAGAGCAGCUACUCUGAGAGAGUAAAGCCGCAGCCUUUGUGGGGUAUGAAAGCAGCGUUCUCAUGGAUAAGGCUUAUUUGAGACGAAGUGGAGGCCUUGUUUUGUCCACUUACCGCAAUGUCCACUGUCCCCAACUGCAGCAUGCCAACAGCAAAUGUGUUUAGUGGAUAUGUGCUUUGUAGCUAACAAGAAACAGUAA